CCUACGGGGGGCAGCAGUGAGGAAUAUUGGUCAAUGGACGAGAGUCUGAACCAGCCAAGUAGCGUGAAGGAUGACUGCCCUAUGGGUUGUAAACUUCUUUUAUAAAGGAAUAAAACGAGGCACGUGUGCCCUUUUGCAUGUACUUUAUGAAUAAGGAUCGGCUAACUCCGUGCCAGCAGCCGCGGUAAUACGGAGGAUCCGAGCGUUAUCCGGAUUUAUUGGGUUUAAAGGGAGCGUAGAUGGGUUGUUAAGUCAGUUGUGAAAGUUUGCGGCUCAACCGUAAAAUUGCAAUUGAUACUGGCAGUCUUGAGUACAGUUGAGGUAGGCGGAAUUCGUGGUGUAGCGGUGAAAUGCUUAGAUAUCACGAAGAACCCCGAUUGCGAAGGCAGCUUACUAAACUGUGACUGACAUUGAUGCUCGAAAGUGUGGGUAUCAAACAGGAUUAGAUACCCCAGUAGUC
rnacentral:rRNA from 1 species